UACGGAGGGUGCAAGCGUUAAUCGGAAUUACUGGGCGUAAAGCGUGCGCAGGCGGUUUGGUAAGUCCGUUGUGAAAGCCCCGAGCUCAACUUGGGAAUUGCAGUGGAUACUGGCAGGCUGGAGUACGGUAGAGGAAGGUGGAAUUCCCGGUGUAGCAGUGAAAUGCGUAGAUAUCGGGAGGAACACCAGUGGCGAAGGCGGCCUUCUGGACCAGUACUGACGCUCAUGCACGAAGGCGUGGGGAGCAAACAGG
rnacentral:rRNA from 1 species